rnacentral:rRNA from 1 species
AGAGUUUGAUCCUGGCUCAGGAUGAACGCUAGCGGCAGGCUUAAUACAUGCAAGUCGAGGGGUAGCAAGAUUGUAGCAAUACAAUUGUUGACGACCGGCAAACGGGUGCGGAACACGUACACAACCUUCCUACAAGUGGGGAAUAGCCCAGAGAAAUUUGGAUUAAUACCCCGUAACAUAGCGAUGUGGCAUCACAUUGCUAUUAUAGCUUCGGCGCUUGUUGAUGGGUGUGCGGCUGAUUAGAUAGUUGGCGGGGUAACGGCCCACCAAGUCUACGAUCAGUAGCUGAUGUGAGAGCAUGAUCAGCCACACGGGCACUGAGACACGGGCCCGACUCCUACGGGAGGCAGCAGUAAGGAAUAUUGGACAAUGGACGCAAGUCUGAUCCAGCCAUGCCGCGUGAAGGAUUAAGGUCCUCUGGAUUGUAAACUUCUUUUAUAAGGGACGAAAAAAGGUCUUUCUAGAUCGUCUGACGGUACCUA